rnacentral:rRNA from 1 species
ACUCAAAGGAAUUGACGGGGGCCCGCACAAGCAGUGGAGUAUGUGGUUUAAUUCGAAGCAACGCGAAGAACCUUACCAAGGCUUGACAUACAGAUGAAUAGUGCAGAGAUGUACUAGUCCUUCGGGACAUCUGUACAGGUGGUGCAUGGUUGUCGUCAGCUCGUGUCGUGAGAUGUUGGGUUAAGUCCCGCAACGAGCGCAACCCCUGUUGCUAGUUGAUAACAUUAAGUUGAUCACUCUAGCGAGACUGCCGGUGAUAAAUCGGAGGAAGGUGGGGACGACGUCAAAUCAUCAUGCCCCUUAUGUCUUGGGCUACACACGUACUACAAUGGCUAUAACAGAGGGAAGCCAAGCCGCAAGGUGGAGCAAAUCCCCAAAAAUAGUCCCAGUUCAGAUUGUGGGCUGCAACCCGCCCACAUGAAGUCGGAAUUGCUAGUAAUGGCAGGUCAGCAUACUGCCGUGAAUACGUUCCCGGGCCUUGUACACACCGCCCGU